GCAUAUAACAGAACCUGCUUCCGAAACUUCUGAAGACGAUAAUUCUGGAUCGGGUGUGAAGUGUGACGAUAAAACAGAUAAUCAUUACAUUUUUCAAUUAUUCUGCUAUUGCGAUAAACAUUCUGAUGAAAAAUUAAGCAUUCGGACUUUGAGUUUGAGAGAACAUUACACUGAUAGCGCGGAUAGUCGCGUUGUCACGGGGAUUAGAUUUUCUGUCAAAGAUAAUAUAAUUUCGAUAGACAUCCAGGAGGGCAAGUUGGUUAACAGUACUGUGGAUCGCGAUACUGUUCGAUGGGUCCCCGGUAAUGGUUACCCUCCGUCAAAAGGACCUGAUAAGAUAAAACUCAGUUUUUAUGUAAAAUCAUUCAAUCUAGAUGACAUUGAACUACCAGACGGCUAUUUUGUCACAGGUGUUAAAUUUGAAUUGCUCGAUGACAAUCACAUAACGUUGGUAGUAAGAGGAACAAAAAUGUGGGAAGAGUGUCAAUCACGGCGGUC